UUAGAGGAUAUGUAUACACAUAUAAAUACAUAAAGGUUUAUAAUAAAAUUACUUCAAGUUGAUUUCGCACGUUGAAGUUUCAAUAGCGUUAAAUCUCUAUUAAAUAAUUUUCACAGAUAAUAACGUGUAACGUACGGUAACGAUUUUACCGACAGUACCGACGGUAAUGUAGAUCUUGUCAAAACGAUUACUUAUUUAAUUAGUUUCUUUUUUUUCUUUCUUUCUUUCUUUCUUUCUUUUUUUGUCGUAAAGUAGGCCCACAAAUAUGACAUGUAACAUCCGAAAAGAUAUUUUUUUUUUUCGCUAUUUCUUAACGUUAUAAUUAUUAAUGGUGUUUUGUACGUGGCAGAUAAUAGAAAAAUGUUUACUACCUACAUAAUAGAAUAAUAACGAGCGUGUAUAUAUAUAUAUUUAUAUAUAUAUAUAUAUAUGUGUGUGUGUGUGUGUUUAUUUAACGAUAAAUAAAUGACAUACCGUUAUAAAAUUAUUCGUAUGAAAGUAUAAGAAGAAACAUAUUGAGAAGAAAAUCUGACUAAGCUGAAUCAAAAACAAUUCCAACCUGGAAUCCAGCCAAUCUGAGAAAGACGAUAGCAGGACAAGCUGGAGGAGGUGCAGCUCGUAGUAACUCGGCACCAGCAUCGUCACGACGUCCUAAUCUCGCAAGAGGACCUUCGUGGACUGCCAGGUGGAGACGAGCAUUACAUAGACUCAAUUCCCUCACGUCCAACCCUCAAGACUGAGAAGUUUUAAAGUUGUAUUCCUAGCCAGUGCUUGACAGAGAAGUCUAGAUGGAUGAUCAUCAAGGGCUAGUCUUGGACUUGCUAGAUCAAGAAGUUGAAGACAAGGUGCCUCUGUCAAGGCCAGGACUAGAGGCAUCACAUCAGCUGGUUUCGAAGCACCGGCCGCUCUAAGAGCAUCUAAGUAUCGUGCUUUUCUUAUCGUUUCUCCUAAACAGCCAGCAUCCAAACCACCCAAAAGACACUUUGACACGUUCAAUGAUCUCAGCUUACAGCUUGGCUCUCUGUAAACAAAGUGAAUUAUUUUUCUGAUUAGUAAACGUAUUUUUUCUUU